GAAAGGGAGGGGGUCGAGGAUGUAAUGGUAUCGGAAGAUGAGAUGCCGGGGGCAAAACUGUGUCGCAGGACCCAGUCGGCAGGUAUGGAUGCGAAUUACAAUUGAAGGGACAGUCCGACAAGCGGGGGCACACCGUACCCACGCCGCGAGGGACCGUCUCCGGCCCAGAGAGAAACACCCACCCCCUGGUUGACUGCCGACCUUCAUAGCGAUACGUGCAUGAGUCGAAGCCAAGCCGAAGCCCGCCAAAGCCCCACCGCCACGUAACACCCCUCAUCACUUUUAGGUCUUUUGGCGGCAGCACCAACGCAAAACAAGGCACGACAGGCCAGUGGUCUGCCGACAGCCCCAUCAAACGCAAGCACCACACAAAUAUCACGUCCGAAGACGAUGGCUGGCGUCAGAGACGCGCAAUGUCUUGGCCCGAAGGCCUAUGUCUGAUAGUCUGUGCCGAGGCACAACUGGAACCGGAAGCCAAGCCGAAACACCACCAAGCCACAGCACACCACAGCCCCUCUCAAAGGGCGCACCACCCACCAUCCGUCCAACCAACGACCCAGGCCGACCCUCCACACAAGCCCCAGCGGCACUCGGAGACGAGAAGAGCCAACAGUCGCCCGGGCGCCCGGGCAACAGCCGCCCGUGCACACACACCCCAAACCCGGGACUACCCGACUGCGGUCACCACGCGCCUACCGGUCCGUGAACCGUAUGCUGCGAGCUAAAACCCCCAGGGCUAAAAUCUGCAGAGCCAGGAAGACCGCAGACAGAGACGACGGCUGACUGGGCGCCACGAGGCAAGACGCCGAGGCGCACACAGGCGAGGCAUCGAUGCGCCAGCCGUUGCGCCGGGCCAAGGGCGACCACGAGGGCUACCCACUACCUGCAAACACAGAAACCACUGACAACACAACACCGAAGAACUCAUGCGACCAGCCGCCCGCGAGCCGCCAUGGAACUUCGAACCCAAAGCUCGGCGCUGAGCGCCUGUCUGAACCCCAACCCUGUCUGAACCAAUCUGAUCAAAGCGCCCGGAACAGGCGACAAAAAUUUGGAAACGAAAGCCAAGGUCGACAACUAAGAUGUUGUGCGCCCCCACGCGAGCCAAGGCUCGCGGGCUAGGGGAUGAGCCCUAGAGGCUAGUAGUUUGUUUAUGGUUGGUAUGGGGGUGGAGUUGGUGGUGGUGGGAGCCUGUGGGAGGGCGCCCGAACGCGGGUAUUAGACACGCACGCCCCACGGCUGAUGUCGGCAGAUCUUAUUACCUUGGAAGCCAGAGACUGCCGAAGUAUCUCACGAACUUACCUGCUUGAUUGCAUUCAAACGUGUACCACACCUUUGACUUCCGCAGAGUCUGC
rnacentral:lncRNA from 1 species